rnacentral:rRNA from 1 species
GUUCUGAAUGGAAGGGCCAUCGCUCAACGGAUAAAAGGUACUCCGGGGAUAACAGGCUGAUACCGCCCAAGAGUUCAUAUCGACGGCGGUGUUUGGCACCUCGAUGUCGGCUCAUCACAUCCUGGGGCUGAAGUAGGUCCCAAGGGUAUGGCUGUUCGCCAUUUAAAGUGGUACGCGAGCUGGGUUUAGAACGUCGUGAGACAGUUCGGUCCCUAUCUGCCGUGGGCGCUGGAGAACUGAGGGGGGCUGCUCCUAGUACGAGAGGACCGGAGUGGACGCAUCACUGGUGUUCGGGUUGUCAUGCCAAUGGCACUGCCCGGUAGCUAAAUGCGGACGAGAUAAGUGCUGAAAGCAUCUAAGCACGAAACUUGCCCCGAGAUGAGUUCUCCCUGACUCCUUGAGAGUCCUGAAGGAACGUUGAAGACGACGACGUUGAUAGGCCGGGUGUGUAAGCGCAGCGAUGCGUUGAGCUAACCGGUACUAAUGAACCGUGAGGCUUAACCUUACAACGCCGAAG